ensembl:lncRNA
UGGGGCUGCACUGGGGGGGCCCGAGCUGGAGCGGGGCCUAGCACAGUUGAGGCCUCCUCUGGGCCCAGACCAGAGGGAGCCCCGGCACAGCCCAGGCUUUGGGGCCUAGGAUGGAGGAGGACCAGGCACAGUUGGGGCUGCUUUGGGGCCUAGGAUGGAGGAGGACCAGGCACAGUUGGGGCUGCUUUGGGGCCCAGGAUGGAGGGGGGCCAGGCACAGUUGGGGCUGCUUUGGGGCCCAGGAUGGAGGAGGACCAGGCACAGUUGGGGCUGCUUUUGGGCCUGGGCUGGAGUGGGGCCUGGCACAGAUGGGGCAGAUUUGGGGCCCGGGCUGGAGCAGGCACAGUUGAGGCCUUGUCUGGGCCCAGACGAAAGGGAGCCCAGGCACAGCCUGUGCCUUGGGGCCUAGGAUGGAGGAGGACCUGGCACAGUUGGGGCUGCCUGUGGUCCCAGGAUGGAGGAGGACCAGGCACAGUUGGGGCUGCUUUGGGGCCCAGGAUGGAGGAGGACCAGGCACAGUUGGGGCUGCUUUGGGGCCCGGGCAUGUGGGAGGCUUGGCACAGCCAGAGCCUUGUGGCUGCACUCCCUCUGUACAGUUCAACCUUGAUCCAUAACCUAAAAUGGUAACUGUAGUGAAAGGCAGUAGCUGAUCCAGCGGCUUUCUUGUGUUUUAAUUUUCCUAUGAGUGGGGAAGGACUCAAGCUAGUAAACAAAGAGCCCUUUCUGAAGAACAGGACUCAGAAAGUAUGAGCACAGAGCAGAUCUCCCAGUAGAGAUUCUUCCCCUUAGACAGGCAGCCCUUAAACGAGGGUGGGGAGGGCUGGAGCCAGGCUCCACCCGUUUUUUGCCCAGGUGAAAUGCUUGCAGCUGUGCUCCACAGCAGAAUGUGUUUUAAUGAAGCCUGUGAAAGCCUGUGACAUGAAAGAAUCCUUUCUUCCUUCCUUUUUUCUCGUUUGUGUUUGUUGCCUGCAGUUCCAAGCAGGUGGCCUCUCAGUGUCUUGCAAGUGACAGCUAGCAGCAGCAGGUCCAGCCAAGAGGCACAGCACCCUGCAACCUCC